rfam:Chloroflexi bacterium 44-23 SCNpilot_bf_inoc_scaffold_52, whole genome shotgun sequence.
GAGUGGGGCCGGCGCGGCGGAAACCUUCGAACCCCGUCAGGUCUGAGAAGAAGCAGCGGUAAGGAGUAAAUUCUGGGUGCCGCCGGGAACCCUACUCGGA